rfam:Oryza meridionalis cultivar OR44 (W2112) chromosome 7, whole genome shotgun sequence.
ACUACCUAUAUCCCGAUUUUGUUCAUAUUCAACGAUUGACCGUCCGUCUUAUUUAAAAAAAAUUUAUAAGUAAUAUUUUAUUGUUAUUAGAUGAUAAAGCAUAAAAUAGUAUUUUAUGUGUGAUUUUUUUAAAAAAAAUUCAUAAGUUUUUUAAAUAAGACGAAUGAUCAAAUUAAUGCUGGAUACGGAAACCUAUAACUACACUUAAA